rnacentral:rRNA from 1 species
GGAGUCAAAGAUUCAAGCUGCUCUUUGCUGCUCUUGUCCGAUCCUGGAAACAAAGCUGGUUCAUGCCUUGUUAGGACUUGGAUGAGAGAUCAUUUAGGAAUACCAGGUUAGGCUGAG